GAUGAACGCUGGCGGCGUGCCUAACACAUGCAAGUCGAACGGACGUAGCAAUACGUUAGUGGCGCACGGGUGAGUAACACGUAGCUGACCUGCCCUUCAGCGCGGGAUAACGGUUCGAAAGGACUGCUAAUACCGCAUAAGCUCCCGGUGUUUAGAAGACUGGGAGAAAAGCUGAGGCGCUGGAGGGAGGGGGCUGCGGUCCAUCAGGUAGAUGGUGCGGUAACGGCGCACCAUGCCGACGACGGAUA
rnacentral:rRNA from 1 species